ensembl:snRNA U6 U6 spliceosomal RNA
GUGCUUGCUUCGGCAGCACGUAUGCUAAAAUUGGAACGAUACAGAGACAACGAGCUUGGCCCCUGUGCAAGACACGUCAAUUUGUGAAGCAGUUCGAAUUUUC